CCCCAGUCAACCAAGAUCUAGAAGCAGAUGGUUCUCAGACAUCAGAUUUUCUGACGAUCUGUCAGAAGGUCAGAGCACAGAGCUGGAAACGGGAGGCGGGUCCAUGCUCCAAGGGGGACUCCUUGACUAGAGAAGGCAGGAAUCGGUCAGCAAGGUACCCAUGUUCCCAUCCCUCAGGUAAGCCACUUUCUGAAGCUCCUUGUGUGUGAUUCCCCAAAGGGUCUGAGCAGGAGGAACCCCGGCUGCCCAAACAGAAGACCCGCUCUAUACCGAAUCCCCUGUUUCAGCUUUGCUCUGCUCUUCCUUCCUUCC
rnacentral:lncRNA from 1 species